CCUACGGGGGGCAGCAGUAGGGAAUAUUGCUCAAUGGGGGAAACCCUGAAGCAGCAACGCCGCGUGGAGGAUGAAGGUUUUCGGAUUGUAAACUCCUUUUGUUAGAGAAGAUACUGACGGUAUCUAACGAAUAAGCACCGGCUAACUCCGUGCCAGCAGCCGCGGUAAUACGGAGGGUGCAAGCGUUACUCGGAAUCACUGGGCGUAAAGAGCGCGUAGGCGGGAUAGCAAGUCAGAUGUGAAAUCCUAUGGCUUAACCAUAGAACUGCAUUUGAAACUGUUAUUCUAGAGUAUGGGAGAGGUAGGUGGAAGUCUUGGUGUAGGGGUAAAAUGCGUAGAGAUCAAGAGGAAUACUCAUUGCGAAGGCGACCUGCUAGAACAUAACUGACGCUGAUGCGCGAAAGCGUGGGGAGCAAACAGGAUUAGAUACCCGGGUAGUC
rnacentral:rRNA from 1 species